AAUACCUGGCGGCAGCUUACACAUGCGAGUCGAACGAUGAAAUCUAGCUUGCUAGAUGGAUUAGUGGCGAACGGGUGAGUAAUGCUUAGGAAUCUGCCUAUUAGUGGGGGAUAACCAUCCGAAAGGAUGGCUAAUACCGCAUACGUCUUACGAGAGAAAGGGGGCUUUUAGCUCUCGCUAAUAGAUGAGCCUAAGUCGGAUUAGCUAGUUGGUGGGGUAAAGGCCUACCAAGGCGACGAUCUGUAGCUGGUCUGAGAGGAUGAUCAGCCACACUGGGACUGAGACACGGCCCAGACUCCUACGGGAGGCAGCAGUGGGGAAUAUUGGACAAUGGGCGAAAGCCUGAUCCAGCCAUGCCGCGUGUGUGAAGAAGGCCUUUUGGUUGUAAAGCACUUUAAGUGGGGAGGAAAAGCUUGUGGUUAAUACCCAUUAGCCCUGACGUUACCCACAGAAUAAGCACCGGCUAACUCUGUGCCAGCAGCCGCGGUAAU
rnacentral:rRNA from 1 species